GUGGGGAAUUUUGGACAAUGGGCGCAAGCCUGAUCCAGCAAUGCCGCGUGCAGGAAGAAGGCCUUCGGGUUGUAAACUGCUUUUGUACGGAACGAAACGGUCCUGGUUAAUACCUGGGGCUAAUGACGGUACCGUAAGAAUAAGCACCGGCUAACUACGUGCCAGCAGCCGCGGUAAUACGUAGGGUGCGAGCGUUAAUCGGAAUUACUGGGCGUAAAGCGUGCGCAGGCGGUGCUGUAAGACAGGCGUGAAAUCCCCGGGCUCAACCUGGGAAUUGCGAUUGUGACUGCAGUGCUGGAGUACGGCAGAGGGGGAUGGAAUUCCGCGUGUAGCAGUGAAAUGCGUAGAUAUGCGGAGGAACACCGAUGGAGAAGGCAGUCCCCUGGGCCUGUACUGACGCUCAUGCACGAAAGCGUGGGGAGCAAACAGGAUUAGAUACCCUGGUAGUCC
rnacentral:rRNA from 1 species